UGAUAAUUUAUUAAAUAAGAAAAGACGUUUUAAAUCAGUAUUUAUUUUAUCUUAUAUAAUAGAUCAGUCUAUUGGGUUUUUUAACGAAAUUUUAGCAUCAUACAAAAUAACAUAUUUUGUUUUUUUAGCUUGUCUAAAAAAAUUAAAAUAAAAAUUGUUGUUACUAAAAGGCAUCAUUUCUUUAAUGCGCUUUAGGCGUCCAAGAACUCUGGACCGGCACUGUCUUAGGGUGAACCUUUAAAUUCAACUCUUUUCUUAUUACCAAUCAAAAUACCAUCUAGAUUAAUAAUAAAAUAGAUUAAUUUUAUUUUCAAAAAGAUGAAAUAAUUGAAAAAAAUAAUAACGCUAAUUUUAAUGAUGCUAAGGCCGCUAACUAAACCCUAAACUUUAAAUAUAUACUCUAAACCCUAAACCCAAACCGUAAACCCUAAACCCAAACCUUAUAUCCUAAACCUAAAUCCUAAACCCUAAACCUAAACCGUAAAUCCUAAACCCAAACCCUAUAUCCUAAACCCAAAUCAUAGACUCUAAACUCAAACCAUAUA
rnacentral:lncRNA from 1 species